GAAAGGGGGCAACUUGUUGCUCUCGCUAUUAGAUGAGCCUAAGUCGGAUUAGCUAGAUGGUGGGGUAAAGGCCUACCAUGGCGACGAUCUGUAGCUGGUCUGAGAGGAUGAUCAGCCACACCGGGACUGAGACACGGCCCGGACUCCUACGGGAGGCAGCAGUGGGGAAUAUUGGACAAUGGGGGCAACCCUGAUCCAGCCAUGCCGCGUGUGUGAAGAAGGCCUUUUGGUUGUAAAGCACUUUAAGCAGUGAAGAAGACUCCAUGGUUAAUACCCAUGGACGAUGACAUUAGCUGCAGAAUAAGCACCGGCUAACUCUGUGCCAGCAGCCGCGGUAAUACAGAGGGUGCAAGCGUUAAUCGGAAUUACUGGGCGUAAAGCGAGCGUAGGUGGCUUGAUAAGUCAGAUGUGAAAGCCCCGGGCUUAACCUGGGAACGGCAUCUGAUACUGUUAGGCUAGAGUAGGUGAGAGGAAGGUAGAAUUCCAGGUGUAGCGGUGAAAUGCGUAGAGAUCUGGAGGAAUACCGAUGGCGAAGGCAGCCUUCUGGCAUCAUACUGACACUGAGGUUCGAAAGCGUGGGUAGCAAACAGGAUUAGAUACCCUGGUAGUCCACGCCGUAAACGAUGUCUACUAGUCGUUGGGUCCCUUGAGGACUUAGUGACGCAGCUAACGCAAUAAGUAGACCGCCUGGGGAGUACGGCCGCAAGGUUAAAACUCAAAUGAAUUGACGGGGGCCCGCACAAGCGGUGGAGCAUGUGGUUUAAUUCGAUGCAACGCGAAGAACCUUACCUGGUCUUGACAUAUCUAGAAUCCUGCAGAGAUGCGGGAGUGCCUUCGGGAAUUAGAAUACAGGUGCUGCAUGGCUGUCGUCAGCUCGUGUCGUGAGAUGUUGGGUUAAGUCCCGCAACGAGCGCAACCCUUGUCCUUAGUUACCAGCGGUUUGGCCGGGAACUCUAAGGAUACUGCCAGUGACAAACUGGAGGAAGGCGGGGACGACGUCAAGUCAUCAUGGCCCUUACGACCAGGGCUACACACGUGCUACAAUGGUAGGUACAGAGGGCAGCUACACAGCGAUGUGAUGCGAAUCUCAAAAAGCCUAUCGUAGUCCAGAUUGGAGUCU
rnacentral:rRNA from 1 species